rnacentral:lncRNA from 1 species
UCGCCAGCUCUUGCAUGAUCUUAUCUACCCAAGAAGGUUUAUUUAAUUUAGCUGGACCAUUGUUUGGCCCUCUGUUUUUAUUUAGAAAGUCUUCAAUAACCUUGUUACAUAAAACAUUCACCACCACUCUGUAUACAAAUGAGGUAUGGACUUCAAGUACUUGACUACUCGUAAAACAAGACCAGUAUUCAACUAUGAAGAAAAAAAGAAGGAUCUACAGUCCUUUGAUGGAUUGGAUUCACAAAAUUGCUAUUUUCAUUUGUUUCCAGAGAAUCCAGCAUAACACGAAUAUGCCCACACAGUGCUCAGUUCAUUUACUUCAACAAAAACUACAGUUACUCAUCUCCUUUCCAAACCACUUGUUAGUUGGUUAUUCUUAGUUCGGAUAGUGUUUGUAACAGUCAAACACAAUAUACAUGAAUAUUCAGGGGCAGAUUAAUUUUCCAAAUAUGUUUUUACGGGAAGUUAACUUGUGCCAUUUUUAGAGCUAGAUGGAAAGAGUGAUAGGUGUUUUGCCAUUGGCAGUCUAUUUAAAAUUACCUCAGAGCAGAUCUCAUGAAUACGUUUCCAUUGCAACAAAGUAUCAUCACACAGAGUUCUUCUGAAUCAAUCACAGUCGCUAAACCUCCUUCAAAAGUUGCAACGCUGACAUGUUUGUUAAAAAUUUAAACUAAAGGAUCGAGGAUACCAACCUAAUGAUGUCUCCAGAAGCUAGUGUUUUCACCAUUUUUCACUGCCGUUCUAGCUGCAAAUAUGUUGUUGAUUUUCCUUACCCGCUGCCCAAGGUAAGAGGCAGUUACAUUUAUAUUGACAUGUAACAAUGUUUUCUUAGUUAUUCAUUCUUAAUAUAUUUCCACUUGCCAUCAUUAUUAUCCAGCUUCUAUUACUAAUAAUCAUGUAUUUAUGAUCUAAAACACCAUAACCACAACCUGGAUUAAAUGUUUACACACACAACAUCACUUAACUACUACAUGGUGGCUCCCAAUCCCUUUUGUCACCUUGUCAUAGAAAACCAGGUUCAAAAUCUAUUAUUCUCGUUUAAACUCCUUUUGGUAAAUUAUAAAAAGAUACCAUAUAUAAAGAAUAUUAGUAGACUAGCCUUAAGCAAAGGUUAGCUUCGGUCAUGUUGAGCACAGAUUUUCUUAACAACAGUAUUAUUUUCAAACUUUUCUAUCAUUAUUGCUGAGCUUUUUCAUGCACAUGGUAAUCCCAGAUAUGUCAACGCUAACACUGAACUUUUAGAUAUAAAAACUUUUUAUACCACGUCUUGAUUAUAUGUUGCCAUAGCACUGUUUAUUGUGAGAGGGAAUCGUAAGCCAAGAGGUUUCUUGCAUAAGUUAUUUUGCAACAAGAAGAUAGUUCCAUUUGUGUACUUCCUCUGUCCUCCAAAAAAAUCACUAGUAGAGAAUUGGCCUUUAGUCCCGGUUGGUAGGGUGCAUAUCUCCCGAAAAUCCAUCUGGGAUAAACCAACUGGGAUAAAAGGGGGGUCUUUAGUCCCGGGUCUUUUAACCGGGAGUAAAGGUCCCCCUUUAGUCCCGGUUGGUGUCACCAACCGGGACUAAAGGGCCUGCCACGCUAGACGCGGGACAGGCCCUUUAGUCCCGGUUGGGAAACCCAACCGGGACUAAAGGUGCCCCUUUAGUCCCGGUUGGUAAAAGCAACCGGGACUAAAGGGGCACCUUUAGUCCCGGUUGGGUUUCCCAACCGGGAGUAAAGGGUUACCCUUUAGUCCCGGCUGGAUUCCAACCGGGACUUAAUGGCACCCUGCAUGGCACUGCCUGGCGCCUGAAUUUUUCAUGCAUGCAUCACGUACACAGUACCGCGGCACUUUUGUUAACCUUUAGUAGUUGAGAUUGUUUUAGAAUGAAAUCAACUAGUAUUUAAACGAAUGGGAUUUGUAAUUAUACAAUUAAUAUAUAUAUACACAAUUCUUAUACAGAAUCCAUAUACACAAUUCAACUAGUACAAAUCGAUCACAAUUAGCGCGUAUUAUAUAUACAAAUAAAUCAAAGUAUCUAUCUACAAUCUUCCCGUCGAGGUGUUGCUGAUCGGAGUGUCUAAUUGUCAUCCAUCGUAAUAAAAUUCUCCUUUUGGAUCUACCACCUCGUCCAUUAGGAAUCCAAUGAGACCUUCACAUAUUGCCGCUACUCUUUCUUCCUUCAAGAGUCCUUGUUGAAUAUUUAACAUCUAUAAUUUGGAAAUUUGUGAAUGUUACACGAACAAAUACAUAUAAGGAGCUAGAAAAUAAUUAACUAGUAAUAGUUUUAUUUUACGUACUUUAAAGUUGUGCGGCGUCAUCUUCAGUCCCUUGGGUCCCAUAAAACUAUGCAUGUGCUCACAGAUGUAGUAGCCACAUAGAUUAUUCCCAGGUUCCUGUCUUAAGAACUUCAGUGCGGAAAAAAAUAAGUUAUGAAAUAUUCUUGUUAUACAAUGUAAUAAAUGUGCAGACUUCAUACGUACCGGGAAGUUUGUGUUCCAUGUAAGUUUUUCUUUGAAUGGACCUUUGUGUGUCCUUAUGAAUUGUUUCCAUGCGCUGCGGAUUAGAAUAAUGAAUGAUUUAGUGUAACAGGGAUAAAAUUUAGGAAACAAACUUUUGCAUAGAGAUAAAGGUCCAGAAUUAUUACAAGCCUAGCAUGUCUUGCAUUUCUUGGUACUCCACCGGAUCUUUCCUCAACGAAUCGAAAACAGUGACGUGGCUUCUUUCAGGCUCAAUUAUAAUAAGGAUCCAGUGGAAGCUGUGUGCGUAAAAUGUUCAUGCAUAUUAGAGCUAACUAACAUGUAGAGAUAAGGAAAAAGACAUCGAAAGUAGACGGUAUACACACACUUACUUGAAGUUGUAUGGAAGUAGUAUGAAAUCCUUGAAUGUUUGUUUGUCUAGGAAAUUGUAUACUUCCACCAAGGUUUUUUUUGGCGCUAUUGUAUCUGUUGUUGGUUAACUACAGAUGGAUCCAUGAAGCCUAUAUGUAGGUACGUCUCUCGGCGGCAUGUCUGAAUUAGCAUCCUACAUGAAAUGGAAGACGAAGUUAGUACGGUGAUGCACGCCAAAAUUUACAUGUAGAGAUAAACGGACACUUACAGAACCCAAGCGCUGAUCAGAGAGACGUCCAGGGCAUCAUUAUGGUACACUUCGUAUAUAUCCUUGAAGUCUAGCCACAUCACUUUCUCGCCUUCGCCAUGAAAAUCUAUCGAUUUUACCUUUAGGCCGAGCAUCUCCCUCGAGUCGGCGGAUGCCAUCAUGUACCAUUGAUGGAAUGCGUACAUCUUUGUUGAUAGCUUCCGUACCAAUGAAGACUUUACUAGACAUUUGCCUAGCUCAUAAGGCCAUCUCGGCUCAGGGGGCGGUGCAGUUGGCAUCUCAACUUGCCCUAGGCAUUCAUCAAGUCCCAGACCUGUUUCUUGCAUGAACUUCAAUACAUCUGCUUGUUGAUCCAAGGGCAUUGCUUUUACCCGUUGAGCGUCUUUUUUUGAUAAAUGGCUGAGGUCGGGGACAGCACCGCUGGAAGAUGACUUUCCUUUCCUUUUAUCUUUUUCAUCAGCCUUUACUAAAGCCCGUUCAUAGUUUGAUAAGAGUGGUAUCCUUUUCUUGGCUCCUUCUUCCAUUCUGAUAAAAAAGUUUAAAUCUCUUCGAUUUACUGGCGGUGGCUCCAUCUCCCUUGCUUUUUUUUUCUUCGGCUUGUUUCUUGAACCACUCACUGGCCUCUCGUUCGAUUUCUGCCCACUGUUCCGCAUGAGACAUUGCCUCCCAGCGUUCCUUACAAGUCACUUUAGGCUCCUUUGUUUUCUUAUUUCUCUGUCUUUGCUUGGGAGGCGGUGCUCGUGACUUCUUUAGUGGUGGUGCAGGUUCCUUCAUGGGGGCCGCUCUUGGUGCCGGCGACAGUGAUCGGGGAGGGGUGUUGUUAUUGUCGUCGUCGCUCCCACCACCAGGAUGUGGUGGAGAUGGAGACCUUGAUAUAGAUGGAAGGGACGGUCCUGGAGCAGGAGAUGACGGUCUCGAGGUAUGAGGAGAAGGUCGCUGCUCGGGAUCUACAGGGAGCGGUCUUGAGCUCUGAGGAGAUGGCUCCGUGCCGGGAAUAAUGAUGUAGCGUUUUCGCCAUAGAAUGAUCCUAUGAAGCGCAUCUGCCAAUGUCUUUUCCCCGUCACCUCCCGGGAGGUCGAGCUCUAGACCUUCAUAUUGGCUAUCAACUAUUUGCUCCUACGCGGACGCUGGCGUAGCCAGGUGGAAUCUCCAUGCCAUGACUGCUCUACCCCGCCAAGGUCUAACGCACUCCCGUACGCUACCUGUACAUAUAGCAGAAGUAAACAAGUUGAACUCCGAUCUCAAGGCGUGGAUCAAUUGACAAGAUUGCAUAAAUAUUAUGUAUAAGUAUACCUUAAUAGUGAGGUUGCCGACCGGUGCAUGCAGCUCACAUGAGGUCCAUUGCGUGAUGGCAUCCACAGGGAACCGUUGCUCCUCCAUGGGUAACCUAGGCGUCUGCACAUCGGGGAUCCCUGUAGAAGCACAACUGCUCAAGAGGCGUUGAGAAGGGCUGUCGGUGUUAGGAUUCGGCAAUGCUCCAGAUUGGGCCAACUCUGCAACUGCGUGGGCCACUCGACGAUUGAUUUCCUCCAUCAUUCUUUGUUCUUGUGCCUGCACUUUAGAUUCUAGCAUCUGCCGCCAGCUCUCCUCGAUCUGUUCCUUUCUUUGCUUCCGGCUUCUGUACGAGGCGCUGUCACCUCGAAAAGCAAACUUCCACAAAACGACCCUGAACCCUCAGCAACGUCCUGGGUGCUCCGAAUUACCGAGGGCUAAUGUGAGCUCAUCAUUUUCUCGGUCCACCUUCAACCUCCCAGCCUUAGAAUCUUCAAUGUUCUUCACAAGAUGUUCGGCCUUCUCACGUAUUGUGUCAUUGAAAAUCAACGUCCCAUCCUCUUGGCUCAGGGAGCCUCCAUGAGCGUAGUACCAAUUUUUUGAUCGUUCGGGCCAUUCAAUAGUUGCAGGUACGAUUCCCCGUUCGAUCAGAUCUUGUUCCAUCUUCCUCCACUUGGGAAUUGCUGAGCCAUACCCACCUCACCCCAGAUGAUGAUGGUAGCCCUUCUGACUAGCAUUUGUUGUGUUGGUCAUGAUCUUUUUCACACCGUCUUCACUCCUCUUAUAUUCAACAAAUGCAUCCCAGUGGUCCCUCAACUUUGGCCACGCGUUGAAGUCUGGAGUUUGGCCCUUCUUAAUGUAGUGGGUAUCCAGCAUCUUCUUGAAUGUCUGGAAUUGUGUAGCCAUCUUCUUAAGCAUCCACGCUUUCACAUCCUUCUCAAUAUAUCCUUCGGGGAAUGUGAAAUGUCUCUUGACGUCUUCCCACAGCAUAUUCUUUUCUGUCUCCGGGAGGGCGUACGGAUUAGUGCUUCUGCCCUUCCAUUCUCUGAUGCUGAUAGGCACGUUGUCCCGGAUGAUUGCCCCAAUCUGACUCACGUACUUCUUUGCUACUUUCUCGGGAGCAACCGGCCUGCCCUCUUCUGUCACUUCUGUGAUGACAAGCCUCCCUUCCAUCACCUUUGUACGACCUCGGGUCUUCUGCCCUUGCGUCGAUCUAGAGGGCUAACAGUUCAAGAUUCGUUAAUUAGUACGUAGUAGUAACGGUGGCGUGAAACAAUACAAGAAUCAUUAUAUAUACCUCGCCGGAACCUUCCGCCAUGGCAAGGUGUUGCUGGGGCUGUUGCUCUUCAUUCCCAUCGGCGGACAUGUUGAGGAACAUGUCCGCCUGGGUGCCCUCUUCAUCCGUGUACGAUAGUGGAAGGUUGUCGCCACUACCAUCACCAGCGAUUAUCUGCUCCAUGAUAUACCUUGCGGUCUCAUCGUCUGCCAUUUCAACUAUUGAUUGAAACAUACAUGGAAUCAUACAUGACAGUCAUAGAAAUCGCCUUACUUAUAUGUACAUAAGGGUAUAUAAUGAAAUCAUAAAAUAACAUGAAUCCCACAAAGUCCGGAAUAUUUAUACAAAUUUCUACAAAUUAGUAGUACUUUGUGACGAAUUUCUAGCAAUAACAUGAAUUUUUACGAAUUUCUAGCAAUAACAUGAAUUUUUACGAACUUCUAGCAAUAACAUGAAUUUUUACGAUUUUCUAGCAAUAAGAUGAAUUUUGUACGAGUUUCUAGCAAUAACAUGAAUUUUUACGAAUUUCUAGCAAUAACAUGAAUUUUGUACGAGUUUCUAGCAAUAACAUGAAUUUUUACGAAUUUCUAGCAAUAACAUGAAUUUGUACGAAUUUCUAGCAAUAACAUGAAUUUUUACAAUUUUCUAGCAAUAACAUGAAUUUUUACGAUUUUCUAGCAAUAACAUGAAUUUUAUACGAGUUUCUAGCAAUAACAUGAAUUUUUACGAAUUUCUAGCAAUAACAUGAAUUUUGUACGAGUUUCUAGCAAUAACAUGAAUUUUUACGAAUUUCUAGCAAUAACAUGAAUUUGUACGAAUUUCUAGCAAUAACAUGAAUUUUUACUAUUUUCUAGCAAUAACAUGGAUUUUUACGAUUUUCUAGCAAUAACAUGAAUUUUGUACGAGUUUCUAGCAAUAACAUGAAUUUUUACGAAUUUCUAGCAACAACAUGAAUUUGUACAAGUUUCUAGCAAUAACAUGAAUUUUUACGAUUUUCUAGCAAUAACAUGGAUUUUUACGAUUUUCUAGCAAUAACAUGAAUUUGCGGAGGCCGGGGCGGCGGAACAAAUUUCUACCAAAUUUCUACUAAUUUGUCCAUAUUUAUUGGAAUUUCUAGCAAUAACAUGAAUUUGCGACGGAGGCUGAACGGUGGAGGUGGGGACGGAACCACGGACGGUGCCUAGGUUGUGACGGCGGCGGUCAGGGCGGCGGGACGGCGGAGGCGGGGACGGAACCACGACGAAACACGAUUCAUUUCUAACCUAGGCGGAGCGACGAACCUAAUUACUACUAAUUUACUCUAAGUUGAUUUUCUAACACAUAUAAAAAAAUCUAUUGAAUUUCUACCUAAUUACUACCUAUUUAUUUUCUAACUUAAAAAAAA